CUGUCCGAUGCGCGUAGGCUACGACCGAUGUCAUAAAACCGAUGCGCACACGCCACGGUUAUUGCGUGCAAUCCUUAGCCAAUGUCGCCUGCCGUUAGCCGAUGCGUGCAGGCAUUGGCCGUUGUCGCCUGUCGUUGGCGGAUGGGAGAAGGCCUUGGCCGGUGGCGCCCAGUCGAUACGCACACACCACGGCAGAUGCGUGAAGGCAUUAGCUGAUUCUGCAUUCCGGUGGCCG
rnacentral:lncRNA from 1 species